CUCACCUAGUUCAUGCUGUUUCCCCCAUUCCUAUAUGCCUCUGUCUUUUUAAUCACAUGUUUCAUGUGUUUAAUUCUUAAGGUAAAGACCUACUUUUAUUUGCACACUAAUGAUUUUACUAGCCUAUUGCAUAAUGCAAACAGUUCUAAAAUAGGGCAGCUAAUCAACACAAACGUAAGACAUGAAGAUUGAGGCAGCAUAAUCCAUUCACACAGCAAUGUAUGUCUGCAACAGAAGAGACUUUUAUUUUUCUGUUAAAUAGGAUGCCAGCAGGAACUGAGACUGCUCUUUGAUUCAGCGAUAAUGAGUGAACGUUGCACCAAUGAAAUUUACAUUUUGCCAGUGGUAUGAAAAGCACAAAAUUAUUCUUCUUACUUCAAAUUUAGGCUCCCCAAAUACAGACUGAUUUGCUGAAGUCUGAGUGCUCUGAAGCUCCUAUUUUCGUGAAUGAAGAUUUUGGCAAUCUAGUAAGAGCAUCCAACAUGAAAGGGAAGGACAUUACUGGCAAGAAUAAUUCUUCACACUUUUGACCAAACCAGCUACAUUUCCCCAAACCAGCCUUUCACCUCAAGCAAAUACUACUCAACUGCCCUCCAAUAAAUGAUCUUACUCCUUAAAGCUUCAAGGCAAAAACUGCCCGCUGAGCAGAAACACCCAAUGGGUUCAAUGUGGUGCAAGUCCCCACAGACCAGCUCUGUAAGCUUUGGAUUAUUAUUUUGAAAGGAAGGUGGCUGCACAUAAAGCCAGCUCUGCAAAGCACUGGGAACAGGACAGGCUCUCAUUUCAGGAGAUGUAUGGCUAAAAUGUGGCUGCCACAGGAAGGAUCUGGGAAGCCAUCAUACAUGCAAAAACUUCUCUUCCACUUUCCCUUUAAAGGGAAGAACAUGUUAUGUUCUUUAAAGAGAAGAACAUGUUGUGGAGAAGUGUGUCCAUUCACAGCCCGCAUCUUUACCCCAGCUUUCAGCAGCUCUUUGCAGCAGAAAAUGAGAGAGGUUUCUUAG
rnacentral:lncRNA from 1 species